rnacentral:rRNA from 1 species
AAUACGACUCUCGGCAACGGAUAUCUCGGCUCUCGCAUCGAUGAAGAACGUAGCAAAAUGCGAUACCUGGUGUGAAUUGCAGAAUCCCGCGAACCAUCGAGUUUUUGAACGCA